GCUACCAGGGGUUCACACCUGCUGUUUGAUACGUGCGCACCAAGUUGUCCUGAAAAAGCUGACGUCUGCGAUGGAGACGGAAACGAUGUAUUUACAGAGAUUGUAUUCCCCACGGGGUAUGAUGAUCUGGAUACAGGAGAGGACAUCUGGAACUCCACAGAUCUAAGCCUGGAUGAGAAAAGAGACUUGGUGGCACUUCUACAGAGCAAGAACCGCCAGAUGAAGAUCAAUGCUGAUCUGCAGGAGGCUUUCAAUGCACGUGAGGACUCAAAUGAUGACCUGGAAAUUCAAAACAUUGCUCUCAAGGACCACAUCAAAAGUUUGAAUCAGUCUGUUCUGGAUAGAGAACAAUUAGUGCAUGAAAUGGAUGAUAUUCAUGCUGCACUUGCUGAGAAGGAGAGGGACACUAACAGCCUUACAGCCAGCAUCAGAAAGCUGGAAAAAGAGAAAAAAGCCAUGACUGACCAGAUUACAUCCAUC
ensembl:lncRNA